UACAGAGGUCUCAAGCGUUGUUCGGAUUCAUUGGGCGUAAAGGGUGCGUAGGCGGCGCGUUAAGUCGGAUGUGAAAUCUCGGAGCUUAACUCCGAAACUGCAUUCGAUACUGCCGUGCUUGAGGACUGGAGAGGAGACUGGAAUUUACGGUGUAGCGGUGAAAUGCGUAGAUAUCGUAAGGAAGACCAGUGGCGAAGGCGGGUCACCGGACAGUUACUGACGCUGAAGCACGAAGGCCAGGGGAGCAAACGGG
rnacentral:rRNA from 1 species